CAGCAGCCGCGGGAAUACGUAUGCCACGAGCGUUAUCCGGAUUUAUUGGGCGUAAAGCGCGUCUAGGUGGUUAUAUAAGUCUGAUGUGAAAAUGCAGGGCUCAACUCUGUAUUGCGUUGGAAACUGUAUAACUAGAGUACUGGAGAGGUAAGCGGAACUACAAGUGUAGAGGUGAAAUUCGUAGAUAUUUGUAGGAAUGCCGAUGGGGAAGCCAGCUUACUGGACAGAUACUGACGCCGAAGCGCGAAAGCGUGGGUAGCAAACAGGAUUAGAUACCCGCGUAGUCCCUGUCUCUUAUACA
rnacentral:rRNA from 1 species